UUGUUUCAACCCUGAUCCCAUUUCUGGGAGUGACAUCUUUAGAAAGAAGAAAAAUGGUGCUCAUCCAGCUGAGGAAUCAAACAACAUCUUCUCUGCCUUGGGAGGUGAUAAGAUUCCCCCCUUCAAGCAGAGAUCUUAAGAAGGUGAAAAAGUAAUAACUCUCACUGAUCUAAGAAUGAAAAAAACUUAUCCCAUAUGUCAAAGGGGAAUGGAAGAGAGAAAGUUCAGCAAAACAAAAUAAAAACAUUGAAAAGGUCUGACAAAAUCCCCAAUGUUCCUCACUCUCUCACUCUGCAAAGAAGAAAGA